rnacentral:rRNA from 1 species
GACGAACGCUGGCGGCGUGCUUAACACAUGCAAGUCGAACGAGAGGACAAGAGAAGCUUGCUUCUUUGGAAUCGAGUGGCAAACGGGUGAGUAACACGUAAACAACCUGCCUUCAGGAUGGGGACAACAGACGGAAACGACUGCUAAUACCGCAUAAGACCACAGUACCGCAUGGUACAGUGAUCAAAGGAGCAAUCCGCUAAAAGAUGGGCCCGCGUCUGAUUAGAUAGUUGGUGGGUAACGGCCUACCAAGUCGACGAUCAGUAGCCGGACUGAGAGGUUGAUCAGCCACAUUGGGACUGAGACACGGCCCAGACUCCUACGGGAGGCAGCAGUAGGGAAUAUUGCACAAUGGAGGAAACUCUGAUGCAGCCAUGCCGCGUGUGUGAAGAAGGCCUUCGGGUUGG